rnacentral:rRNA from 1 species
UCGAGAAUCUUGGGCAAUGGGCGAAAGCCUGACCCAGCAAUUCCGCGUGCGGGAUGAAGGUCUUCGGAUCGUAAACCGCUGUCACUAGGGACGAAUUUUGACGGUACCUGGAGAGGAAGACACGGCUAACUACGUGCCAGCAGCCGCGGUAAUACGUAGGUGUCAAGCGUUGUUCGGAUUUAUUGGGCGUAAAGGGUCCGCAGGUGGUCUGAUAAGUCUGAUGUGAAAUCCCGGAGCUCAACUCCGGAACUGCAUUGGAAACUGUCGGACUAGAGUAUCGGAGAGGAGAUUGGAAUUCCAGGUGUAGCGAUAAAAUGCGUAGAUAUCUGGAAGAACAUCGAAAGCGAAGGCAGAUCUCUGGACGAUUACUGACACUCAGGGACGAAAGCAUGGGGAGCAAACAGG